GCGGAUGUAGCCAAGUGGAUCGAAGGCAGUGGAUUGUGGAUCACCCAUGCCGCGCGGGAGAAAAAAAA
rnacentral:tRNA from 1 species